rnacentral:rRNA from 1 species
AUACGUAGGGUGCGAGCGUUGUCCGGAAUUACUGGGCGUAAAGAGCUCGUAGGUGGUUUGUCGCGUCGUCUGUGAAAUUCCGGGGCUUAACUCCGGGCGUGCAGGCGAUACGGGCAUAACUUGAGUACUGUAGGGGAGACUGGAAUUCCCGGUGUAGCGGUGAAAUGCGCAGAUAUCAGGAGGAACACCGGUGGCGAAGGCGGGUCUCUGGGCAGUAACUGACGCUGAGGAGCGAAAGCAUGGGUAGCGAACAGGAUUAGAUACCCUGGUAGUCCAUGCCGUAAACGGUGGGCGCUAGGUGUAGGGGUCUUCCACGACUUCUGUGCCGUAGCUAACGCAUUAAGCGCCCCGCCUGGGGAGUACGGCCGCAAGGCUAAAACUCAAAUGAAUUGACGGGG